CACACACACACACACACACACACACACACACACACACACACACACACACACACACACACACACACUGGUGUACGUGUGUGCAUUAAAAUUAAUUCACCGACUCAGUUUAAUGGUGUGUGGGCUUAUGCCGUCACGUGUCACUAUCACUUUCAAUGGAAAUAAAAUCUGAGCACAUUAUGCUUAAUUAGCUGUUUAAUGCGCGCUAUUAAAACACUCAUAUUUCUAUUGCUGAAUGAUAACAGUUUGAAAAGUGCUAAAACAAAUUUCAUUGGCCUUUCUCAAUAAAUCUGUAUAAUAAUAAGAGGGUUAGUGUGGCCGGACUAAACGUGGUAAAUAUAAAACAAUUAUGUGAUUUUAUGACCAUCAGACUUAAAACAGACUUGGGAAAUCAUUUUGGAAUUCUGUAAAUUAUGUAGGUGCCCAGAUUUACAGCCUGAAAUAAUUUACAGAGAGGCAUUUUUGAAAAUAAAAAUUUAAUUUUCACAAAAAUUGAAACUAAAAAAGUUCAAGAGCCAUUCUCAAAACUGAGGAAAUUCUUUGCUUUAUAAAAGAAGUGUACAGAGUUAUAUAUCAUCCUUUCAUAAGGCAUUUUACUGUCUAUUUAUCUAUAAAGCCUAUGAAGUAUGUGUUUUAUUGAACUCUGUGUUGGUAGGAAUUUAUAUAAUUAUAUUUUCUCAAGUUAUUUUUCAGAAAAAGGACAAUAAUGUAAAAUAUGUACUCUUAUAAUCAUAAGAAUAUGGCACAAGGUAAUUAUGUGUUAAUUAUAGGUCUAUGCCUAUGUAUGUAUGUCUGAUCUCAGAAUUGUGUGUACUGAAACUGUAAUUUCCCUCUGGGAUUAAUAAAGUAUCUUUGAACUGAAUUUGAAUUGAAUUGAAUUUGAAUUGAAUUUGAAUUUAACUGAAUUACUAACACAAUGUACAAUGCACCUAAAUGUAAGCUACUAUAACUUAGACCACAUAUGUCAGAGUCAAGGCCCGCGGGACAGAUGCGGCCCAUGGAGCAUUUUUAUGUGGCCCGCGAGAUAAAUAUCAAAAAUAUAUUAAAACUGGCCCGCUGGCCGAUUUUACCGCAAAGACUUCAACUCCCAUGAUGCUUUGCGGCGGCAGCGCGGAGCCGGCUCGCCCCCUCCUUUGUGUUUUUCCCAGCGCCUGCUGCCGGUGUCUGCAGCUCCGCUGUCUCGGCAAACUACACUCCUCUCACUCAGCGCCGAGUUCACUCAGCUAUUUUCUGACGUUGAAGCCCAGAAACGGAGAUUCUAGCUGCUCAGUAACGUGUUCACGACUGAAAGAAAGUUUUCCAACUAACGUCCAGACAGAGCUGAUAUACCUCCAGCGAGCAGCGACACGCUCAAACCAGCACGGCUCUGUGGUUAUGUUUCCUCCCCGACACACAACAACGUGGUCAAGCUGCUCAGACAUGUUCAUCAGCACAAACCUAUGUGAGCAGCUGUUGUCAUCUAAUGUUGUCAUUAUUAUGAUGAAGAUGAACAAAACAACAGGAGUCUCCUCCUCAGCUCAGAUCAACCCCAUGAUGCAGGUAUCUGGCUGGAACAGGUGAGCAUCACAGUAAACCAGUGGAGCAAACUGAGCUUUAAAUGUUUAGGUUUUAUGCUCUUUUUCUGCUCCAAAACAUGAAAGUUAACAGGUGAGAUGUUGCAUUUUCAUUUAAGAUAAAAUGAUAUUUUAUUUUGUUUUUGGCCAGUGAGAAAAGAUUUAACCUACAGUAAACAGGAAAUAGAAAGGCUGCAGAUAGAUGAAUAGAAAAUCCCUUUACUGUUCCUCAGUGGGGAAAGCUAGAUGUCACAGCAGCGAUGACACGUAUUACAGGAGAAAAAAAGGAGAAUAAAAAAUAAGAAAAAUGAAUAAACAAGAAAACAUAAAUCCUGAAUAGAUUAAAAAAAUGCUGUUAAUACCACAAGUAAUGAAUACCACUGAUGCCUUUUAUUUAAAACUGACUUGCUCGUGUGUAAUUUGGUUAUUCCACAUUCAGUGUUAAUGCAGAAAUAUGUUUGUUUCCAACUUUAAAGGUUCAAAAUUGCAUACAUGUUGAUAAAGAAAAUGUGCAAAUUUGCCGUCACUUUUUCAAAAAAUAUUAAGUUUGGCCCUCGACUCCGUCCCAGAGUUUCAUUUCGGCCCCGUGUGAGUUUGAGUUUGACACCCCUGACUUAGACAAACCAGUACAAAUUACUUAAAAUGUUGCUUACCAUUUACUAAUGCUUUAGUACAUACAACUCAAAAAUACUAGUUUAGUAAGCACAUCUCUAAGUACUUUAUAACAGUUUGUGUUAGUUAAAGUAACUUAAGUUCAUUUUACUUUGUAAGUAUUAGUAGCCCCAACACACAACUUACCUAGUGUGGUGUACUUGCCUGUUUGCAUGCUUUUUUCACGUAAGUGGAGCUAAUCAGAUUUUACAGUGUAAUCCAGAGGAUAUGUUUAAGGCUCAACACAGCAAGGUGUUGAAAAAUGUACAUAUUCUGUUUAAAGGAACACUCUGUAGUUUUGGCUUGCUUUUAGCACCCACUAAAGACCGUUUUAAUUUAUGGUCAUAAAAACAAAACAGAAACUCUCCUUCUCGCUGUGCCUUUGUGUUUUUAACACCUUAAUCUAACUGCUGAAAUGUUUCCUCAGCUUUCAUUAGUGUCUACAGGAGCGGUUAAUCCCUAAAUCAAACACAUCAUUUGUGUUCACAAUCUAAAACAUGCAGGAAGCAUGCUGGAAGCGGACUCCAGAGCUUGCAUGUUGGCUAGCUACAGAGUUCAUGGAAAAUAAUAUGCCUCCUGAGAGGAAAAGUCAUGUGACCACGGGGAAAGGCUGUAGCGUUUUGGCAAACCCUAUGCCUGGGAUUCAUAGAAACGAAAGAUACUCCACGAGUUCUGAGCAGCUAGCCGACAGGACCGCAGCCGGUGGCGCCAGCCGGUAGCACUACUCAGCAGCUACCGGGGUCCGCGUGGCUCGCUGAGGACUGGAUGGUGUGUGAAGAUACAAGGAGCUUGGAUUGAGAUGAGAAAGCAUCAAUAACUGGGCGUUUGCCCGGUAAGAAGAGAGCUUAUGCGGGUCUUUGGGUGACGGAACGGACGUGAUCACUACUGCUUCACAAACAUAUUUAGAAAUCUUUACAAACUCAGGAAAAGUAAAAACGUGCAAACAAAACACAAUGAAGUUGUACUCACAAGAGCAGUAGGUCUGAUCCAAUAUGAAUCUGAGCUCUUGUGUCUUCUGAAAACUCCUGAUGUUGACUCUAGUUCGACCCCUUUUGUGGUCGGGCGUUCUUUUUCUUGUUUUAGCUUUAUGAGAUAAAUGUUUCUUCUGAGGUUCCACCUUGAUGAACAAGGUCACAAUAAAUGCUAACCAGGUAAAUCUCGUCUAUUAUGAGGUGUACACAUGGAUUGCCGUAAGGCAGUUCUGCUUCUGACUACAGGGCAGCGUUCUGAAGACUCUGAAGUUGCAGUUGGUAUUCCGGCCACGGGGCUGAGGAACUUUUAAGGGUUUCGAGAACUAAAGGCAGCAUCAUCUGUAGGAAGAAAAACCAUAAUCGUCCUUUGCUUCGUCCCUUUAAGCUCCGCGUAACGGUUGUCCCUGACUGUCACUUUCGGUGACACCGAACCGCUGUUACUGGAUGUCAAACUCUCAUCAAGGCUUUUUCUCUUAAAAAACUAUAUUAAAAGACCUUCGUAUUCAGCUUAAAUGUUCUGUAGGUUUCUGACAAAUUAUACUGCAUCAUAAAGUUCAUUUUCUUGAAUUUCUGUGCUGUUUCUUUUUAUUUAAUCAGUUUUGACUUGUACACACACCUGAUUAAAAAAAAUCAUCUUCAAUAAUGAUUGAAAUGAAAACAUUAGAGAAUUAAUGCACAAUUCUGCAAAUAUUCAUUUUAAUCAACAUUUUGCAAUUAUGUAACUGCUGAAAGUUAAUUAUUAUGCAUAAUUAUUGCUUUCAAACAGCUAAACUUUGUAGUGAUGUGUUUAAUAAAGUAUUUAAAAGAGGUUUUGACUUGUUCACAGAAAAUUACCGUCAGUGGAGAGGUGUGUUUUCCUCCUAAGGCUUCUCACUUCGUCUGCUUCAGACAUGUUUCUCAACAACUUGUAAACUGCAUGUAAACAGAUUCGUCUUCCACAGACCGCAGCUUUGCAUCCUGUGAGUGUGUGUGUGUGUGUGUGUGUGUGUGUGUGUGUGUGUGUGUGUGUGUGAAAGAGAAUAUAUGUCAAACCACAGUCGAUUCUCAGCCACACCUUGAACACGCGUGUGAUUUUUGCAACAGCUUUUUUACACAGACGCUAAAUGAUCGUGCAGCCGCGUACGCUGCAUGCAAAACCACAGAAAGACAAGACUUCCUGUAUUGAAAAAGGUAGAAGUGCAUUUUUAUGUAGAUCACAAGCAGGAAAUAAGCACAAUUUUGUGCCAAAAUAGCAGCUCUGAGUUAGUUCCCUGGUCUGCAGGGGUCUGAGAUCCUAGUCCUAAAAACAAAUCUGCAAAUUACGGAGCAAUUCUUUGCACCAAUUUGUCAAAAAAAUUGAAAGGUAAUUUAACUUUUCCUGCAAAAAUACACAUGCACUUAAUUUCCGUUGGAGAUUUUUCAUGCACAUACAAGCUUUUAUCUAUGCAUGUAAUAUUAAAAACAUGUGCACGUCUCUUAUUAACACGGAAUAAUAAAAGCUGUAAGAAGAAUGUGCUCAAUCAGUCUUUGUCUGCUGGCUGUAUCUAGUAACAUCUACAUCUUAGGGUAAUGAAAUAAUUCUAUGAAGCUCAUGUUCAGAAAGCAUGACUGGACUGAGUGUGAACAGACGUGUUGCUUGUCUGCCUCCUGUUAUAAUCUCCAUUUAUUCAGCCGAGCGUGCAAAUCAGAUUUCUCUUUACAAUAUCAGUUUCCUCUGAUUUGGAGAAUUUGUCACACAUUUAGUUUCCACUGGUGGGGAACGCACGCUGUGAUACUCUAACCACUCCUACCUAAUUAUGAUAUUAUCACCACUUACCGCAUUUUAAUUCAGUCGUCUGAGUCAAAAAUAUAUUACAUAUCCUGCUUCAACGUCCUCAGGGUAAUUGAGCCAACCUGAAAGUACAAAAUAAAUGAUGAAAAACAUGAUAAUUAAAUGCAAAGAUACAAAGACAAAGAUUUGUCUGCAUUUGUCAUGAUCUGAGAUGAUUUUGUUUCCGUUUUGUUUGCCCCCUCAGCUCCCCACCUGGCUUUCAUUGGUAAUCAGCUCAGCUGUCACCAUUUUGUCAUCACCUGCCUUAGUAUAAAGGCUCUCUUGGGUCUUGCAAGACUUUAGGUAAUUUUUUAUGACUAAUGUCACUUAUUAAACCACUUUUUGAAACAAAUGUGUUUUAUUGCACAAAUACUGCAGCUAGGUUUGAUUCUAUGAAAAGCCGCUGCUGUGAAAAAAGCGAGGAGCUAACCGGAAAAGCUUCUGCAGCUCACAGUUAGUCUACGGAUUAUGAAUGAACGGACAACGCUAGAAACACGCUGAUUCUUCCUGAUGUGAGUGAGUCUACUCUUUCUUUAUGUAGUUUUGGAGUUUACAUGAGCACAAUGUUCUGUGACUCUUCAAAAAACAAUAAAACCCUCAAAAACGCUGGCAGUCGGGGGCUCUUCUGAUCAGUAAACAGCUGGCAGUGAAUGAGUUAAUAAAGAUAUUAAAAUAAUAAAAAAACAAAGUAGCACAAACAGCGACCGGCAUCCCAGCAUGCGUCGUGGUCGAUGAUGCAACGGUCACUGUCCCAAUUGGGCAAUUAUUUGCACACUUGUGUACUACACACUCGAAGCCUUACUGCACACUUCCUCCAAGUGCACUUUGCUGAAGGCUGCAGGGUGCACUGCGAGUAGUGGGGCUGGGCAAAAGUCACCCGUGUGUUUGGAAAAGGGGCUGCAGUACUGAAAUUUGACCACAGGAUGUCACUCUUUCUUAAUUCUUACAUAAAGCACAUUUAAAUAUGCCGAUUUCAUUUGUAAUCUGGUCACUGACCACUCUCACGCAUGAACUGAAGAAGGAUCCUGACCUGCUUUCUGUCUUUUGAACUCGAGAAUCCUCAAUUUUCUGAGAAAAUCUGGAAACUGGCUCACAUUUUAGCGAUUAAGACACCAACUUCCUAUAGCCGUUUUACUUCAGUGCCCCCAGACGUCCUGCUGUUGACCUCCCGGCUCCGAGUAUUUACCUUCAGAUUUAUACCUUGUCAUAUCCAGACAUUAAGGCUGUUAAAAGAUUGAUCUGGCUGUAGAUUACCCAGGCUGCACUUGUCAGAUGUGAUCUGGCUGCCCUGUUUGUGAUGAUGAAAAGCCAAAGCUGCCAGGAGAAAGUACAUCUAAUUCCUGUGUAAGUUGAAGGAACUGUUGUUGGAAAACAGAACUGACAGUCACAGGAUAAAAAAGGAAACAGACAUCAAAUGCAUUUACAGGCUUUCUGGGUGCAUUUAUCUGUUUAUCAAACCAGAGACAUGCAGACCAAAUAAAACAUUAUUUUACACACGCUGGUGGGCAAAUGCACAAUUUUCUUUCCCCAUAUUCAUCAAAAUGAAGUCAAAAAACCAAGAUAAAGCUGAGAAUCUUCAUCGUGAACCUGCUAUACGUGUUCCACAGUGGAAAUUUUAAGAGGAAGGCAAAAAGGGAACAUGCUUCAGACUGCACAGACGCCGUCAAUUACAAGGAAAUAUUAUCUUCCCUGAUACCACAUGCUUCAUGCAUUUAUUCAAUUUGCCUGGCCUACAGAUGACUUAAGACCUAGAGAGCAAAGCUGAAUCUGUAGCUCCUCCAGGACUCUGCUCUCCAGAGAGAUAUUGCAUCUGCAUGUUUGUGGGAUUAAGGAAAUGCGGCGUGCAGGCAGUAAAAUAAAAACGAAAGUGUCAAUAUUUAAAGGGAUAAUUUGGACAAUCUAGGAGAAAUUCUGACAAGAAUAAAGUAUUCCUCCCUAAAUACCGACGUAAGGAAAAGAUGGUGGCGUAAAGCUUUAAAUUAAAACCGCAGCAUCAGGUGCUAUAAGAAUUGAAAUGUUGGUUUUAGGCUAACAAUGGCUUGUCCAUGCAAACUUGUCCGAAGUGAACUGGUGACCCAUCCAUGUUUGGAUAAUUUGAGUAUGUGAUUAAAUGUUUUUGUGGCUGUUAAACAAGUCUUAAUUCACCCACUGAGAUUUUCUACAUACGUGAAGCGGCAGCCAUGUUUAAUUAGAUCAGCUUCAAUAAAAUUCCUCUAGUGGUUCUUGAUUGUAGCUUUUUUAUUAUAUUUUUAUGCAGGUUAUUAUUAUAUUUGUUUACAAUAUGCACCUUGACUUGAAGUACACUUUUGUUUUGCAUUUUACCUGCUGGCUAACAGGGUUUAGUGUGAAGGGGACAUAAUAUGCAGAACUCACCUUUUGUGCUGCCAUGUUGGUCCCUACUGCCUCUAUAAACACUCCAAACAUGAAAAAAAAAAUCCACCUGUUUUUAAUCAGUGUUUGGUUUUAGGAAUUAUGUGCCUAAAACAAGCCAUUUUAAAAAGUCCCCUUUUGUGACAUCACAAAUGGAUAAAAUAGCACAGAGCACCUCUAAUUCCCCCCUCACCUAGAGGAGAGCAGCUGCAGAAGCAGCAACUCUACUUCAAGCCCCUCCCAGAUAUCGAAGCUUCUCAGCUUAUGGCAGCCUAGGUGGAGGAUAGGUAGAUGUGGCCAGCUUCAGCUUGUUCUCUUAAAGUGGCAGAGUUCUGAAACGCCUCAUUUUGGCAGGUAUUGAAACUGUCCAGAGUUUGUGCAAGGUACCUGGUAUAGACCAAAACAUAACAUGUCACUUUUAACAGAAUUAUGUGGCUUUGUGCUCAGAGUACAUGUCAGGAAGAAUUUUUGGUUAUUUUAAUACCAGAUUUGGGUUUAAUAUCUGAUUGGACUUGUUUGAAAUAAUUUUUGUGUUUAUAAAUGCUAAUUAGCUGCAGUGGCCAUCUUACUUGACUUUAAAAAAAACUGAUUUCAUGAUCUUUGCUGCUUCACAGGCCUCCUCUUGUCCACGUCUCUUCACAAGUACAGUGUCACCCUUGUUACCCACGUUGCUACCCAACCAUCACCCAAAGACACCUCAGUGUCACCUGUUAGUCCGACAAGUAUCCACCUCAGCGUGGAAAGAGAGAGACAAGACAUAAAAGUCUGUCCUGGUCUCCUUUGUUUCUCGCUGCCUCGCUAGACUUCCUCCUCCUCCUCCUCCUACUCUUCCUCCCCCUCCAACCGUGUCCAUCUGUUCACCUCUCAGCGGAGCAGGUUGAAGAGGUCUCCUCUCGGUUGGGCGUGCCCGGGAAAGCUCACCAGGGAGGUGUCCAGAAGGCAUCCUAACUAGAUGCCCGAGCCACCUCUACUGGCUCCUCUCAACGUGGAGGAGCAGCAGAUCUACUCCCAGCCCCUCCCGGAUUACCGAGCUUCUCACCCUGUCUCUAAGGGAGAGCCCAGACACCCUGCAGAGACAACUCGUUUUGGCCGCUUGUAUCCACGAUCUCAUUCUUUUGAUCCCAUAAACGUGAGGUGCUGAGGAGCGGACCGCGCAUAUGGAGGUAAUUCGCUGGAUCAAAGUGUCGCUACGGCUAAUUAAUCUAUAUCAGCAUCAAUUAAUCAGCCUAACCUCUGGGUUUAAAGACAACCCUCUAGGUGGUUAAGUAUGACAAAAUCCUCUUUGCUUUUUUAUGUCAACAAAUGUGCAGAAAAACCUCAAACAUGAAGAGAGUAAACAGGAGAGACACUUCACAUCAUUACAGCUGCUCAUGCAAAAGUGUGUUAAGAAAGUGCUUAAAUUUAAAAAAGAAAAAUAGAUUAACCUCUGAGACAUUCACCUAAUUAGUUCUGUGUCAUCUUAAACGAAUUGAGCAGCCUUGGAGCAUUAGUCGGUCAGUGGAACUCGUGUAAAACGUGUCAGCCCAUAAUACUUCAUGAUUCUUUGUGCUACUGCCUCUCAAUAAAAUGACGCAUGUAAUCUUUA